rnacentral:rRNA from 1 species
UGCAGUCGUGCGAGAAAGUAUCUUCGGAUAUGAGUAGAGCGGCGGACGGGUGAGUAACGCGUAGGAAUCUACCUAGUAGAAGGGGAUAGCCCGGGGAAACUCGGAUUAAUACCGUAUACCUCCUUCGGGAGAAAGAAGGCCUCUCUUUGAAGCUUUCGCUACUAGAUGAGCCUGCGUAAGAUUAGCUUGUUGGUGAGGUAAAGGCUCACCAAGGCAACGAUCUUUAGCGGGUCUGAGAGGACGAUCCGCCACAUUGGGACUGAGACACGGCCCAGACUCCUACGGGAGGCAGCAGUGGGGAAUAUUGGACAAUGGGCGCAAGCCUGAUCCAGCCAUACCGCGUGUGUGAAGAAGGCCCUAGGGUUGUAAAGCACUUUAAGUUGGGAAGAAAAGUUAUUGAUUAAUACCCAAUGACCGUGACAUUACCAUCAGAAUAAGGACCGGCUAAUUCCGUGCCAGCAGCCGCGGUAAUACGGAAGGUCCAAGCGUUAAUCGGAAUUACUGGGCGUAAAGCGCGCGUAGGUGGUUUAUUAAGUUGGAUGUGAAAUCCCCGGGCUCAACCUGGGAACUGCAUCCAAAACUGAUUCACUAGAGUACGAUAGAGGGAGGUAGAAUUCACAGUGUAGCGGUGGAAUGCGUAGAUAUUGUGAAGAAUACCAAUGGCGAAGGCAGCCUCCUGGAUCUGUACUGACACUGAGGUGCGAAAGCGUGGGUAGCGAACAGGAUUAGAUACCCUGGUAGUCCACGCCGUAAACGAUGUCAACUAGCUGUUGGGGAACUAUGUUCUUCAGUGGCGCAGCUAACGUAGUAAGUUGACCGCCUGGGGAGUACGGCCGCAAGGCUAAAACUCAAAUGAAUUGACGGGGACCCGCACAAGCGGUGGAGCAUGUGGUUUAAUUCGAUGCAACGCGAAAAACCUUACCUAUACUUGACAUACUUGGAAUGCUUUG